rnacentral:lncRNA from 10 species
GGACAGAUGGCACGGGCCCUGCAGGCCAUGGCAGAGAGGCUGAACUUCAUAUUCAGGGCAAAAGUCACUGGAGGGCUGUGAGCCGGGGAGAGAUGUCAUCUGAUUGCAUUAAGAACAACAGCAGCGCAAGAUCACACCUGUUUGCCCUCAGAGCCCUACUCCGUGCCUCUUCAGCCCCCACUGUCCCCAGCCCUUGGGUCAGACAACCUUGAAUUUGACACUUUCACCCCAGGUUGUAUGACCUUGAAGAUGUCACUGCACCUCUCAGAGACUCAGUUUCCUCAUCUGCAAAUUGGGGCAGGAUCUGGCAGGAUUGCAGGUGGUUUCAACAGAACCCUGCAGCAUGGAACAGGCUGGCACACAGAUUUACUUGAGUCCAAAGCUUCUCAGUGUCUGAGAGUGUACUGGGAGAACCCAAGGAGACAGCGCCUCUGAGAAUCAUGGUGGGGAGAACAGGACCUGAUGACGAAGUGCUCGGCAAAUGACGCCUGAUGUUACAGGGAUCCUUGCUGACCCACUGGACCACGCCCUCCACACCAGCGCUGGUGGUUCCCCACAGUCUGAGGUCUACUUCCCCCAGCUUCUCUCGCACCUUUAGACUUCUCUGUGGCACUGCUUUCUCCUCUCCUCACCAUCUCAGCUCCUCCCUCCUGUUAGCUGUGUGGCCCUGGGCAAGUCACUGCCCCUCUCUGAUUCUCCACGUUCUCAGUCCCGUGGCGGGGACCUGACACCCUCUCUGGGCAAAUGCCAGCAUGCUUUGCUAAGCAGUCCUAUCCCAGGUCUUGUGGUGUCUGCCAGAAAUCUCCGGGAGGCAGAGGAUGAAGGCCUGGGCGUUAGUGUGCCUGGUUGGAGGUCCUGGGGACGAAGGCUGCUGGGGUGGGGGUAUUGCACUCCUGGUUGAAGGUCCUGGGGAAGUGUUUGUGGGGCUGUCACUCAUUCAUCUUGUUAGGCCAAGGUGUGAGGAGGUGGGCCGAGGUGGGUGGGGGAGGUUGACGUUGUGGAAAUCACUGAGGGCCUGGAAAGCUGCUGCGAAGAGUCCGGGACUCCUGGGCAUAGAGUAAUGUUGGUGCCUUGACCAGAGCCUACAGACCUCCUUACUGGGACAAGCCAGCUCCCCGCCUGCUCUGUGCUGUGCUGCUAACCCUUGCAUCUCAAACCUGCUUCAGGGAAGUAUGCAGCAGAAAAGCCUAGCCCCUUGCCUUAAGGCAGGACAAACUCAGAGGCAUAAUUUGUGCUGCAGAGCUCCCUUGGGCUCAGGCCACGGCAGGGAUGGAAAUUGAAGAAACCCUUGCUUGUCUUCUCCUUCUUUUUCCCUGGCUCCCUCGCUGGUUUCAGCUGGAAGAAACUCCCUAGGGAAACAUUUGCACCUGAAUCCUGCUCUCAGGCUCGGCUUCUGGGAGAACCUGACAUGAGACAACCUGCUGGCCCUGGGCACCACAGGCGUGUUUUAAUAGAAUGAGUUUAUUGGUUAGAAUGCAGGCUCGGUUACUUAUUAAAAAACAAAACCGGCCGGGCGCAGUGUUUCAUGCCUGUAAUCCCAGCACUUUGGGAGGCUGAGGUGAGCGGAUCACUUGAGGUCAGGAGUUCGAGACCAGCCUGGCCAACAUGACGAAACCCCGUCUCUACUAAAAAAUGCAAAAAUUAGCCAAGCGUGGUGGCCGGCGCCUGUAAUCCCAGCUACUCGGGAGGCUGAGGCAGGGAGAACUGCUUGAACCCGGAGGCGGAGGUUGCAGUGAGCCCAGAUCGCGCCACUGCACUCCAGCCUGGGCGACCCAGCAAGACUCCGUCUCGAAAAACACACAAACAAACAAACAAACACCAAAACCCAAGUUAAUGAUGGUUUAAACAAGGUAGACGAUUAUUCGCUCCUGUAGCAGUCAGUGGUUCACGGUGGCGACGGCGGACUGAGUUCUAUCCCUUUUCUGCCCUGCCGGGUGUGGGUUCAUCCACUUCCUCGCGCCGCUCGCACCCCAUUGGCAGUAUUGGGUCACAUGGCCAGCCGUGGCCGCAAAGGACGUUGGGAAAUGUAGUCUUCAUAAGGGAGCCAGUCGCUCCCGGGACAGUGGGGUCCACGGCUGCGGGAGGGGAAUAGAGGUGGGGACUGUCAUUCCCUCUGCAGGGAGGGAGCACAAACUUUAAAGCGGGGACAAGAUUCUUUUAGAAAGAAUGGUCUUCGUGUAAGAAAAUAUGCAGAGGAUUCUGUGUCUGUGGAAAGGGAGCUCUUGCCGGGGAUGCGGGAAGAUGUUUCUGGAGGUGCCCGGCCCAGGGCGUCCUGGGGCAAGGAGUGGCCAGGCAGGUCCUAUGAGGACCCUCCUAGGGAAAUCCGACCUUCUUCCAUCUUCAGGGAAAGUGGACACAGGCAGCAGCCUGGGAGGGGCGUCGGAGGUGGGGAAAAGGAGCGGGUGUAAACGGAGCCCUCCAGGCGGGCAGGGACAAGUAGAAAACGACAAAGCUAGGUCGCGAGUGUAACGACACGGAACAUGGCAGCAGUGGGGUGAGGGACCCUAGGCCUCCUGGGAACUUCCAGGGCAGUUUGAGAAAGCCAGGUUCCCCCAGGAGGGGUUGGGGCGUUUCCAUUUUAAAUAUUAGCGGGGUGUCCCGGGAGGCUGAUAACUGGCUUCCGUCCAUUUCCCACACGUGUUUGCAAAACGAAUGUGUCAGAUGUGCAGAUGCGCAUCCCUGGCGCCCCAGCAUAGUCUGCGGCCUUCUGCCCCGUGGUUACCGUUUUCCGUGGCUUCCCCGAGACACUCCUUGCCCUGGACGCAGCCUCUGACUCCAGCUUCCACUCCAGUAAAUAGCCCCGACGUGGACACCUUGCGCAGGCAGCUUUGCUGGCAUUUCAGAUUUGAGAUGAUUUCCUCGGGCAUGAUUCCCAGAAGAGAAGUCGGGUAGGGGAAGUGCAUUUGCCUGUAAGGGCCGUGGUUGAUACAGCCAAAUGUCUGCCUGGUCCAGUGGUGCCAAUGUACCCGACCACCUGCAGAGCACAGGCAAAACCUUCCUCGGGGAAGGGUGGGAUAGUUUGGUUUCAUCUCUUUCCCAGAUUUUUAAAGUACUAUUGAAGAUACUAAGCAAUUUAAAAAGUAAUUUUACCUAUAAUCCCGUCUGCUAGCAUGUUGAUUUAUUCCUUCUAGCCUUUUUUCUAAAUAUAAAUUUUUUAUUGUGUGAAAAUUUACAUACACGAGCCUUUUAUUAUGAAAAGUUAAGACAUACACAGAAACAGAGAGUCACAUAAGGAACCUUC